UUCUUUUUCUAAUUCAUUUAGGUGGUGGGUUAAGUUGUCAAUUUGAGAUUUUUCUUUUUUGAGGAAACCCUGUAUCACUAUGAAUUUCCCUCUAAGCACUGCUUUUGCAGCAUCCCAUAGAUCUUGAAUGGUUGUGUCUUCAUUAUCAUUUGUCUUGAGGUAUUUUUUAAUUUCCUUUUUUAUUUCCUCAUUGACCCAUUGGUUUUUUAGUAGCAUGUUGUUUAAGUCUCCAUGUAGUCAGUUUUUUCUCAUUUCUCUCCCUCUGGUUGAUUUCUAGUUUCAUGCCAUUGUAGUCAGAGAAGAUACUUGAAGUAAUUUCUAUACUGUUAAAUUUGUUGACGUUAGUUUUGUGCCCCACUAUGUGGUCAGUCCUUGAGAAUGUUUCACAUGCACUUGAAAAGAAUGUAUACGUUCUGAUUUUUUUGGAUGUGAUAUCCUGAAAAUACCAAUUAAGGCUAAACUUUCCUAUUGUGUCAUUUAGGAUUUCUGUUGCCUUGUUGAUUUUCUGUCUAGAGGAUCUGUCCAUUGAUGUGAGUGGGGUGUUAAAGUCUUCUACUAUUAUUGUGUUCCCAUCCGUUUCUCCUUUUAUGUCUGUUAGUAUUUGUUGGAGGUAUCUGGAUGCUCCUAUAUUAGGGGCAUGUAUAUUGACAAUUGUAAUAUCCUCUUGAAUGGAUCCUUUAACCGUUAAAUAGUGUCCUUCUUUGUCUUUCUUUAUGGCCUUUGUUUUAAAGUCUAUUUUGUCUGAUAUGAGUACUGCAGCUCCUGCUUUCCUGUCUUGUCCAUUGGCAUGAAAUAUCUUUUCCCAUCCCCUCUUGAGGUAUUUUUAAUUUCCCUUUUGAUUUCCCGUUGACCCGUUGGUUUUUUAGUAGCAUGUUGCUUAGUCUCCAUUUAGUCAGUUUUUUCUUAUUUCUUUUCCUAUGGUUGAUUUCUAGUUUCAUGCCAUUGUGGUCAGAGAAGAUACUGGAAAUAAUUUCUAUACUUUUAAAUUUGUUGAGGUUAAUUUUGUGCCCCAGUAUGUGAUCAGUCCUUGAGAAUGUUACAUGUGCACUUGAAAAGAAUGUAUAUGUUCUGGUUUUUCUGGAUGUAAUGUCCUGAAAAUAUCAAUGAAGGCUAAACUUUUCUAUUACGUCAUUUAGUAUUUCUGUUGCCUUAUUUUCUUUCUAGAGUGUCUGUCCAUUUAUGUGAGUGGGGUGUUAAAAGUCUGCUACUAUUAUAUUUCCACCACUUUCUCCUUCUGUGUCUGCUAGUGUUUGUCGUAUGUAUCUGGGUGCUCCUAUAUUAAGGGCAUAUAUAUUGAUGAGUGUAAUAUCCUCUUCAUGAAUUGAUCCUUCUAUCAUUAAGUAAUGUCCUCUUGGUUUUUGUCUAUGGCCUUCGUUUUAAAGUGUGUUUUGUCUGAUAUGAGUAUUGCAACUCCUGCUUUCCUGUCUUUUCUAUUUGCAUGAAAUAUCUUUUUCUAUCCCCUCACUUUGAAUUUAUAUGUGUCCUUUGCCCUUAGGUGAGUCUCUUGUAGGCAGCAUGUUGUAGGCUCCUGGUUUUUUUGUUUGUUUGUUUCGGGGUUUUUUUUGUUGUUUUGUUUUGUCUUUUUGCUAUUUCUUGGGCUGCUCCCGUGGCAUAUGGAGGUUCCCAGGCUAGGGGUCGAAUCGGAGCGGUAGCCACCAGCCUACGCCAGAGCCACAGCAACGCAGGAUCUGAGCCACGUCUGCAAGCUACACCACAGCUCACGGCAAUGCCGGAUCCUUAACCCGCUGAGCAAGGCCAGGGACUGAACCUGCAACCUCAUGAUUCCUAGUCAGAUUCGUUAACCACUGCGCCACGAUGGGAACUCCUGGCUCUUGUUUUUUUUAUCCAGUCUGCCACUCUAAGUCUUUUGAUUGGAGCAUUCAGUCCAUUGAAAUUUAAAGUAAUUAUUGAUAAAUAAUGUAUUUGUUGCCGUUUUCAACCUUGCUUUCCAGUUGAUUCUGUUGUUUCUCCUUUGUUCCUUUCUUUUUUUGUUGGGUGAUUUCCUUUUAUUUUAUGCUAGUGUGUCCUCCUCUUUUCAGUUUUUGUGAAUGUACUGUUUGCUUUUGAUUUGUGGUUGCCCUCUUUUUCAGGUAUGUUAACCCCUUCCUAUAUCUGCUUGCUUUAGCCUGAUAGUUACAUAAGCUCGAACACAUUCUAAAUAAUGUCUAGAUAAUGUCUAAAUAAUGUCUAAAUAAUGUCUAGAUUUUCUUACUUUUCCUUCCCCAUACUUUAUGAUUUUGAUGUCCUUUUUGAACAUGUUCUUUUUUAUCCUUUUGCUUUUCCUUGUGUUUAUCGUCACUUUUACAAUAGGUUUGUAUUUUGUUUUGUUUUCUUUUCUUUUAGGUCUGUAUGCUGGCUUAUUGAUUACUUUCCAGUUGUGAUUUUCUCCAUCCUCGUCUUUUUUAUUUAGAAGAGCCCUUUCAGUAGUUCUUUUACAGUGGGUUUAGUAUUGCCGUACUCUCAGUUUUUGUUUGUUGGGGAAAUUAUUUCUCCUUCUAUUUUAAAUAGUCUUACUGGGUAGAGUAUUCUAGGCUGCACAUUCUUCCCUUUUAGAUCUUCGAGUAUAUCUUGCACUCUCUGCUGACCUGUACUAUUCUGUAAUCAGCUGAUCGCCUUGUGGGGGGGGGUAGUUUCCCUUAUAAUGAACUCUUUGCUUUUCUCUUGCUGCCUUUAGACUCUUCUCUUUAACCUUUGCUGCUUUUAUUAUGAUAUAUCUUGGUGUGGGCCUGUUUGGUUUCAACUUGCUUGGGGCCCUCUGUGUUUCUUGUAUCUUGAUAUUUGUUCCUUUAGAUUCGGAAAGUUUUCAGGCAUAAUUUCUUCAAAUAUACUUUCAAUCCUCUCUUCUUUUUCAUCUCCUUCUGGAAUUCCUAUUAUGCAUAGAUUGGCCUGCUUUAUAUGGUCCCAUAGAUCUCUUAUAUUGCUUUCAUGUUUUUUUCAUUUGGUUUUCUGUCUGCUGUCCUGAUUGGGUGAUUUCCAUUAUUCUGUCUUCCACGUCACUAAUUCGUUCCUCUGCAUUAUUCAUUCUCUCCAGUGCCUUUAACUCAGCUUGCAUCUCUGCAAAUGAAUUUUCUCAUUUUCCUUGGCUCCUCGUAUUUUCUAGUUCCUUUCUAAAGUAAUCUGCAUAACUGUUCAGAUCUGCUCUUAAUUCCUUAAGUAUUUUCACUAUUUCCUUUUUGCACUCGGUGUCUGUUAGACUGCAGAGGUCUGUUUCACUGUUUGUGCUUUCAGGGGAAUUCUCCUGUUCUUUUAACCGGGAAUGAUUCCUGAGCUUCUUUAUUUUGCUUCUGUUUUUCUUAUUCAUGAGUUUAAGAAUAACAACUACUGUAGUCUUGGAGGGGCAAGAGCUCCCCUGGGUAUUUUGUGAGGCUUACUAUUUAUUUUUGGUGGGAGGACUGCUUUGGUAUCUCUUUUCUCAGUGUGCGCAGGCUCUUACCUCCUUGAUAGGGUGCUGCCUGUGCUUCCAGGGAAAUGGAGGCAGUGAGCAGGGCUCAUAGCCAGUACCUGGUUGUUGGGCCCCCGACAGUAGCACGGACCCUUGGAAAGGUUGCAGGGCCUUGGGAAGUGGCAUUGACCCUGACACCCAUGGCAUUUGGCAGUGGCAGCCGCAGGGCGUGUGCAUUCCCAGGGGAGUGAGAGCAACAACGGGUGGUGCUCAGUUGCAGUGCCCUCCUCUGAGGUGACUGGGGCCACAGUGGUGCCUGUUCAUGGACCCCUAGUGGUGGCAGGCCACGCCCACCUCUGGAGUCUAACAUGACUGGGAUGUUUGCCCCACCGCCUGUAGAUCACACAAGGGUGUGCAGGAGGCUCUGUCACCCGUGGCCCACAGAAGAGAGGCCUGUUGCCCAUAGCCCUUUUAGAAAAAUAAUCAGUUUUCGGGGUUCCCAUCAUGGCUCACCGGAAACGAAUCUGACUAGCACUCAUGAGGAUGCAGGUUAAGGGUCUGGCAUUACCAUGAGCUGUGGUGUAGGUCACCGAUGCAGCUUGAAUCUGACAUUGCUAUGGCUGUGGCAUAGGCCAGCAGCUACAGCUCCAAUUCAGCCCCUAGCCUGGGAACCUCCACAUGCCAUGAGUGCAGCCCUAAAAGAAUCAGGAGUUCCUAUUGUGGCACAUCAGAAACAAAUCUGACUAGUAUCCAUGAGGAUGCAGGUUAAGGGUCUGGCAUUACCAUGAGCUGUGGUGUAGGUCGCAGACACACUCCAAUCCCAUGUUGCUAUGGCUGUCUUGUAGCUCAGCAGCUGUAGCUCUGAUUCGACCCCUAACCUGGGAACU
rnacentral:lncRNA from 1 species